CUUGAAUCCGUUGAAGCACUUGCUGAUGAGAACACUGUUGCUAUGGUUAUCAUAAACCCUGGAAAUCCUUGUGGAAAUGUCUUCACAUACCAUCAUUUAAAAAAGAUUGCAGAGACUUCAAGAAAACUUGGGAUAUUAGUGAUUGCUGAUGAAGUUUAUGACCACAUAGCAUUCGGAAGUAACCCAUUUGUGCCUAUGGGGAAAUUUGGAUCCAUUGUGCCUGUUCUUACUCUGGGAUCUCUAUCAAAAAGAUGGAUUGUUCCUGGUUGGCGAUUUGGUUGGAUUGCAACAUGUGAUCCUGAUGGUGUCUUUAAGGAACAUGGGAUUACUAAGAGCAUUGAGAGCUAUCUCAGCAUCUGCUCUGCACCUGCAACCUUCAUUCAGGCAGCAA
rnacentral:misc_RNA from 1 species